GGAUAGGGCCCUAUAUUGUAAAAGAGGUUUUUUCUCAUGGAGCUAUAGAAAUCAAAAACCCAAGCAAUGGUGCUACUUUUAAAGUAAAUGGACAACGAUUGAAACUAUUCUUGGAAUUGCCUACUAAAAUUGAGGAGGAGGCCAUGGUUCUCUAUGAGUCUAUUUAUUCUAAUUGAUUUUGUAUCCCAGGUUCAGUCUGGUUGA
rnacentral:lncRNA from 1 species